CAACCUGGCCGUGACAGAUGGAUAACCGGGAGAAAUCCCGCCUAAUACAACAUAAUGCCGGGAGGGGACAUCCCCUGCCGGUCAAAGGGGGCGACCCCGGUCAUGGAUGGGCAUGUGGCGCAUUAGGUAGUUGGUGGGGCAACGGCCCACCAAGCCGACGAUGCGUAGGGGUUCUGAGAGGAAGGUCCCCCACAUUGGAACUGAGACACGGUCCAUACUCCUACGGGAGGCAGCAGAGAGGAAUAUUGGUCAAUGGCCGGAAGGCUGAACCAGCCAAGUCGCGUGAGGGAAUAAGGCCCUACGGGUCGUAAACCUCUUUUGCCAGGGAGCAAUGCCGUCCACGUGUGGACAGAAGGAGAGUACCUGGAGAAAAAGCAUCGGCUAACUCCGUGCCAGCAGCCGCGGAAAUACGGAGGAUGCGAGCGUUAUCCGGAUUUAUUGG
rnacentral:rRNA from 1 species